ensembl:lncRNA
AUUUAAUCCUGUACGAAAGGUGAAAUCCAGAUAAUUUUUGAUAAACUGGGCCCAGGAUUGUGUCCAAGUGAGCACCAUCUAGUGGUCCAUUUACUGUGUCCCCAAUCAAUCAAUUGGUGGGCAGUGCGUCUGCAGGGGUGGUGUCCAAUUAACCGUCACAUCAGGUCAUUGUUCUGUUUCUGGAAGGCAGAGGGUUGGUAUGUUUGAUAGAACUUUGUAAAAACCAAAUGUAAGAUUUUGGAUUGAUUUGUAGGUCUAUGCAUGUUGGUAAUGGGACAUUUAGAUCACUAAAGUUCACAUUUAGUUUAGAGUGAUUAACACUAUGCUUAGCAUAAUUAUAUUUUCCCUUUCUGUAACACACAUGACGUCCAGUGUUGGUGACACUCAAGAUGAUUAUGUCUAAGUCCACUUCAAAGCCUUCCAGGCUCUUGGAUUUUAUGUUCUGUGCUGGCUUUGUGUUGGGGUUCUGUCUCUGUUUCAUUGCCAUUGCUUACUACAAAGCACAUCAGCUCUCUCAGGAGACAGUGCCCUUGUCCUCACGGACCAGCAGCCUCUUGGGUGAGCUCCCUUCAGUACACUACUCUGCUGUUGCCACUAAUGCCUCAGUCCUCUCGCCAUUGCCUCCCUCCCCCACCCCUUCUUCGGGUCGACUGCUCUGCUGGGUGUUGACCUCACCCCAGACUCUGUGGACCAGAGCUAAACACAUAGUGAACACCUGGGGGCCUCGCUGUGACACACUGCUCUUCAUGAGCUCUAAGCCGGACCUCCUGUUCCCUGGGACCGUGCUGGCUUUGGCAACAGAGGAGGGACGGGCCAACCUGUACAAUAAGACCAUGGCCGCUUUCAACUUACUGCAUGACGGGUA